UACAGAGGCCCCAAGCGUUGUUCGGAUUCACUGGGCGUAAAGGGUGCGUAGGUGGCGAGGUAAGUCGGAUGUGAAAGCUCGGAGCUCAACUCCGAAAUGGCAUUGGAAACUACCUUGCUCGAGGGUUGGAGGGGGGACUGGAAUGCUUGGUGUAGCAGUGAAAUGCGUAGAUAUCAAGCGGAACAUCAGUGGCGAAGGCGAGUCCCUGGACAACUCCUGACACUGAGGCACGAAAGCUAGGGGAGCAAACAGG
rnacentral:rRNA from 1 species